rnacentral:rRNA from 1 species
CGACGCCGCGUGAGGGAUGGAGGCCUUCGGGUUGUAAACCUCUUUCGCCAGUGAAGCAGGCCUGCUCCUUGUGGGUGGGUUGACGGUAGCUGGAUAAGAAGCGCCGGCUAACUACGUGCCAGCAGCCGCGGUAAUACGUAGGGCGCGAGCGUUGUCCGGAAUUAUUGGGCGUAAAGAGCUCGUAGGCGGCUGGUCGCGUCUGUCGUGAAAUCCUCUGGCUUAACUGGGGGCUUGCGGUGGGUACGGGCCGGCUUGAGUGCGGUAGGGAGACUGGAACUCCUGGUGUAGCGGUGGAAUGCGCAGAUAUCAGGAAGAACACCGGUGGCGAAGGCGGGUCUCUGGGCCGUUACUGACGCUGAGGAGCGAAAGCGUGGGGAGCGAACAGGAUUAGAUACCCUGGUAGUCCACGCCGUAAACGUUGGGCACUAGGUGUGGGGGGCCUUUUCCGGGUCUUCCGCGCCGUAGCUAACGCAUUAGGUGCCCCGCCUGGGGAGUACGGCCGCAAGGCUAAAACUCAAAGGAAUUGACGGGGGCCCGCACAAGCGGCGGAGCAUGCGGAUUAAUUCGAUGCAACGCGAAGAACCUUACCAAGGCUUGACAUGUGCCGGUCGGCUCCUGAGACGGGGUUUCCUCCUUG